rnacentral:rRNA from 1 species
UGCAAGUCGAGCGGACAGAAGGGAGCUUGCUCCCGGAUGUUAGCGGCGGACGGGUGAGUAACACGUGGGUAACCUGCCUGUAAGACUGGGAUAACUCCGGGAAACCGGAGCUAAUACCGGAUAGUUCCUUGAACCGCAUGGUUCAAGGAUGAAAGACGGUUUCGGCUGUCACUUACAGAUGGACCCGCGGCGCAUUAGCUAGUUGGUGAGGUAACGGCUCACCAAGGCGACGAUGCGUAGCCGACCUGAGAGGGUGAUCGGCCACACUGGGACUGAGACACGGCCCAGACUCCUACGGGAGGCAGCAGUAGGGAAUCUUCCGCAAUGGACGAAAGUCUGACGGAGCAACGCCGCGUGAGUGAUGAAGGUUUUCGGAUCGUAAAGCUCUGUUGUUAGGGAAGAACAAGUGCAAGAGUAACUGCUUGCACCUUGACGGUACCUAACCAGAAAGCCACGGCUAACUACGUGCCAGCAGCCGCGGUAAUACGUAGGUGGCAAGCGUUGUCCGGAAUUAUUGGGCGUAAAGGGCUCGCAGGCGGUUUCUUAAGUCUGAUGUGAAAGCCCCCGGCUCAACCGGGGAGGGUCAUUGGAAACUGGGAAACUUGAGUGCAGAAGAGGAGAGUGGAAUUCCACGUGUAGCGGUGAAAUGCGUAGAGAUGUGGAGGAACACCAGUGGCGAAGGCGACUCUCUGGUCUGUAACUGACGCUGAGGAGCGAAAGCGUGGGGAGCGAACAGGAUUAGAUACCCUGGUAGUCCACGCCGUAAACGAUGAGUGCUAAGUGUUAGGGGGUUUCCGCCCCUUAGUGCUGCAGUUAACGCAUUAAGCACUCCGCCUGGGGAGUACGGUCGCAAGACUGAAACUCAAAGGAAUUGACGGGGGCCCGCACAAGCGGUGGAGCAUGUGGUUUAAUUCGAAGCAACGCGAAGAACCUUACCAGGUCUUGACAUCCUCUGACAACCCUAGAGAUAGGGCUUUCCCUUCGGGGACAGAGUGACAGGUGGUGCAUGGUUGUCGUCAGCUCGUGUCGUGAGAUGUUGGGUUAAGUCCCGCAACGAGCGCAACCCUUGAUCUUAGUUGCCAGCAUUCAGUUGGGCACUCUAAGGUGACUGCCGGUGACAAACCGGAGGAAGGUGGGGAUGACGUCAAAUCAUCAUGCCCCUUAUGACCUGGGCUACACACGUGCUACAAUGGACAGAACAAAGGGCUGCGAGACCGCAAGGUUUAGCCAAUCCCACAAAUCUGUUCUCAGUUCGGAUCGCAGUCUGCAACUCGACUGCGUGAAGCUGGAAUCGCUAGUAAUCGCGGAUCAGC